CCUGUGCACCUGCACUAUUGUGAUCACUCGACAGGAAGGUUUCGCAGGUGGGACAUUUUACUGUGUUGCGAUAAAAUAAAGAGCACUUGGUGUACGGUUGAGGAUGCUGCCAACAGCAAUUCCCCUGAUGAUGGUGACCGCGGUAGUUGCCAUCUGCAUCAUUUACUACAAUUUGCAUAAGAGUAGAGCGACCGGAGAUGGGUUUCCUGAGACAAGGGGGCACUGUCAAUGGCCUAACUCAGGUAACAACCAGACCGGCCGUCGCCCCCCUGAUGACACGGAUGGUGGAAGUCAAUAUGGGAAGAGAGCAAACAUGUCUGACACCCAGUAUGGAAGGGGCCCAGACAUCAACAAUGCUGUUUGUUUCGAAAAUGAGGGCAAUAAAGAGAUCUCCCUGCGCACACGCAAAUUUGUGUAGUGACUGUGUGAAUAAGAUCAUCACUGACUUGGACCGGAGCUGCCCAUUCUGCAGGAGCUACAUUCAGGCAUAUACCAUGGUUGUCGGCAGCUGAGCACAUGAAGCAUUGUCAGUUGAUUAUGUGUAGACUCGAUUCCCUAUCUGACAAAUUUUACCAUUUUGUUUGGGUUUUUUUAAUAUUUUUAUAUUUUUGAUUGUCCAUAAAUCCAGGUCAUACAGUUCAUAACAUAACGGGUUGGUAUAAUCACGAUUCGCAAAUAUAUACAAAGUCUUUACAGGCAAAAUGAAUAGGUACUUGAAAAUGUAAUAGCAGUACAUUAUAUAUAGCGCUAGGUUAACAGAACAGGUUGUGACAUAGUGACCAAAAUUUUGUGAAGCCGUCAUAUUUGCAAUUUGAAUAGGCAUUAAAACGUUCAGCAUAA